GAUGUAUUAGGAUUAUAACUAUGUUAAAUUAUAGAUAACAAUAAUACAAUAAGAAUAAGAUCUAUCAGUUAGUUGUUAAGGUAAUGGCUUAACAAGACUAUGACGGAUAACGGUAUUACUUUGUAAUAUUCCGGAGAAGGAGCCUGAGAGAUUGCUACUAAGUCUAAGGAUUGCAGCAGGGGCGAAACUUGACCUAUGAUAUGAUAUUGAGGCAGUUAUGAGUAGUAUUUUU
rnacentral:rRNA from 1 species